UACGUAGGGUGCAAGCGUUGUCCGGAAUUAUUGGGCGUAAAGGGCUCGUAGGCGGUUUGUCGCGUCGGGAGUGAAAUCAUCUGGCUUAACUGGGUGCUUGCUUUCGAUACGGGCAGACUAGAGGUAUGCAGGGGAGAACGGAAUUCCUGGUGUAGCGGUGAAAUGCGCAGAUAUCAGGAGGAACACCGGUGGCGAAGGCGGUUCUCUGGGCAUGAUCUGACGCUGAGGAGCGGAAGUGUGGGGAGCGAACAGG
rnacentral:rRNA from 1 species